GGGCCGGUAGCUCAGCCUGGUAGAGCACCUGACUUUUAAUCAGGUGGUCGCGAGUUCAAAACGAUCCCGCGUAUGCGGUUCGUGAACGUCUCGUCCGGCCCA
rnacentral:tRNA from 1 species